UUUCCAACUGCAUGUUGAUGACUUUGCCCCAAUUACCUUAUAUGUACAUUUUAUGCAAAUCGAGGUGUGAUCUUCUUUUGUUAACGCCUGUGUGUAGUGUGGGCAAGGGGAUUCCUAAGGAGGUAAUCCUCAAUACUGGUUCACUGGAGUACUCACAUACUUUGACGCUGUGGAUUUUUAGGGGCGGUGUUUUUAGAGAGAAGCAUAUAGACUGAAGGUGCGGUAGCAUGCACAGAGCUAUAGCUCCAUAGAUAUAGCGACAUAGUGCUAAAUCUUAUUUUGGAUCCUGUUUCGAGAAUCCUGUUUCUGGCGAUAGCCUAAAUUUAAGCGAUAGUUGCUGACGUAGUAGGAUUUUCGCCUGCUUCUCAAGAGCUGCGUCAGAGCCAGCGAAUUUACACCCCUUGAUGGUGUUCCAGGCCUUAGGAGCCAGUAUAUACUUUCUCUGGAAACUCGGACCAAAACACCCAAGUGACCACCACUUUCCCGAAGGCCUUCCAGGCCAGGUUCCUGCGUAUCCUGCCUACUCA
rnacentral:misc_RNA from 1 species